AUUAAUAGAUCACUUUUAGCUCUUGGGAAUGUCAUCAAUGCCUUAGCAGAUUCAAAGAGAAAGAAUCAGCAUAUCCCUUACAGAAAUAGUAAGCUUACUCGCUUGUUAAAGGAUUCUCUUGGAGGAAACUGUCAAACUAUAAUGAUAGCUGCUGUUAGUCCUUCCUCUGUAUUCUACGAUGACACAUAUAACACUCUUAAGUAUGCUAACCGGGCAAAGGACAUUAAAUCUUCUGUAAGUCUGUUUACUCUGCCUUUGUUGUGAAGGUAUUGUCUGCAUAUGAUUUUUGUAAUUCUAAUGAAAGUAUUAAUUCAGGUUAUGUUUCUACAUAAUGAGUUAGGCAGCUGAGGGUUAGAAGGGUCUUUGCUAACCUGCUUAGUCGAACAUUAAUUUAGACGGUUAAACCAUAAAGCAUCUUGAUUACAUAUAUAUAUAUAAUAGAUACUAUUAUUCGAUCUUUUCAUAAAGCAUCUUGAUUAUAUAUAUAUAUAUAUAAUAGAUACUAUUAUUCGAUCUUUUGGGUACUAUAGUACUUGAGUGGCUUUCUCCCUAACCUCUUUGAUGUCAUGGCCUAUUGUAUUUGGAUGGCAUCUUGGAGUAAUCAGUCAAAACUUGAACACAUUUGUUGCAGCCCAGGAUGAUGCUCUG
rnacentral:sRNA from 1 species